UGCACAACUUACAGGUCUUGACAUCUUCUGACAGUCUAAGAGAUUAGAGGUUCCCUUCGGGGACAGAAUGACAGGUGGUGCAUGGUUGUCGUCAGCUCGUGUCGUGAGAUGUUGGGUUAAGUCCCGCAACGAGCGCAACCCUUAUUACUAGUUGCCAGCAUUAAGUUGGGCACUCUAGUGAGACUGCCGGUGACAAACCGGAGGAAGGUGGGGACGACGUCAAAUCAUCAUGCCCCUUAUGACCUGGGCUACACACGUGCUACAAUGG
rnacentral:rRNA from 1 species